GACGAACCGUACGAACGUUAUUCGGAAUCACUGGGCUUAAAGGGUGCGUAGGCGGCGCGGAAAGUUGGGUGUGAAAGCCCUCGGCUCAACCGAGGAACUGCGCCCAAAAACUGCCGUGCUUGAGGGAGACAGAGGUGAGCGGAACUAAGGGUGGAGCGGUGAAAUGCGUUGAUAUCCUUAGGAACACCGGUGGCGAAAGCGGCUCACUGGGUCUCUUCUGACGCUGAGGCACGAAAGCUAGGGUAGCGAACGGG
rnacentral:rRNA from 1 species